UCCUUUCUCUCUUUUUUUUCGGAUAGCCCAACCCUAAGCCAUCCAAGGCACUUCUUCACCCGAGUCUCUUCUCCACACGAGCAUCUUCUCUGCCCUUCUUCUUCCCCAUCCGUCAGAGCCUCCUCCCUUCUUCUUCUUCUCUUCCUCUCAGUCGUGCCCCCUUUCUUCUCCCCCUUCUUCUUGGCGCCUAUUUCUCCUCCUCCUCCCUGCUCAGUUGUCCGAGCUGUUGCCAUCAAAGCCACUUCUCCCCUUCCUCCUCCUCCCUUUCUUCUCCCCCCUUACCCUUCUCUUCCUCCUCCCAACCUAAGCUUCCUCCUCCCAACUGAAGCUGCUUCUCCCCAUUCCUCCUCCUCCUCCUCCUCCCUUUCUUCUCGCCUCUUACCCUUCUCUUCCUCCUCCCUACCUAAGCUUCCUCUUCCCAACUGAAGCUGUUGUCAUCGAAAGAAACUAUAAUAUGCAUUGGUAUCACCUCAAUAAAUAGGAAGAUCAUCAUCCUGAGACAGCUAAAGAAUAUUUUAACAUGAGGCACUUUAGAGAUGAAGAUGAACAAAGUGAAGAUGAUGACAGUGAACGCGAGACUGAAAUGGACUACAUAUAGACAAUUAUCCCAACUAAUUAGUGGACUGCAUUUACGAAUAAUUUAGCGCUCCAAAUGUUUAACAAUUGGGAAA